ACGGGUGAGGAACACGUAGGAACCUGCCCUUGAGCGGGGGAUAACCAAGGGAAACUUUGGCUAAUACCGCAUAAACUCGAGAGAGAAGAGAUGCCCGCAAGGGUGUCACUUGAGGAGGGGCCUGCGUCCGAUUAGCUAGUUGGUAGGGUAAGAGCCUACCAAGGCGAUGAUCGGUAACUGGUCUGAGAGGACGACCAGUCACACUGGGACUGAGACACGGCCCAGACUCCUACGGGAGGCAGCAGUGGGGAAUAUUGGACAAUGGGGGCAACCCUGAUCCAGCGAUGCCGCGUGAGUGAAGAAGGCCUUCGGGUCGUAAAGCUCUUUAGGUUGGGAAGAAGUUCAUUCGGUGAAUAGCCGAGUGGAUUGACGGUACCGACAGAAUAAGCACCGGCAAACUCUGUGCCAGCAGCCGCGGUAAUACAGAGGGUGCGAGCGUUAAUCGGAAUUACUGGGUGUAAAGGGCGCGUAGGCGGUAGUAUGUGUGUGAUGUGAAAGCCCCGGGCUUAACCUGGGAAGUGCAUCGCAAACUAUAUAACUAGAGUAUAUGAGAGGGUGGCGGAAUUUCCGGUGUAGCGG
rnacentral:rRNA from 1 species